UACGUAGGGGGCAAGCGUUGUCCGGAUUUAUUGGGCGUAAAGAGCGUGUAGGCGGCCAGACAGGUCAGCUGUGAAAACUCGAGGCUCAACCUCGAGACGUCGGUUGAAACCGUUUGGCUAGAGUCCGGAAGAGGAGAGUGGAAUUCCCGGUGUAGCGGUGAAAUGCGUAGAGUAUCUGGAGGAACACCGGUGGCGAAGGCGGCAUCCUGGACCGACACUGACGCUGAGGAGCGAAAGCCAGGGGAGCAAACGGG
rnacentral:rRNA from 1 species